UACAGAGGGUGCAAGCGUUGUUCGGAAUUACUGGGCGUAAAGGGCGCGUAGGCGGCCUUCUAAGUCGAACGUGAAAUCCCCGGGCUCAACCCGGGAACUGCGUCCGAUACUGGAAGGCUUGAAUCCGGGAGAGGGAUGCGGAAUUCCAGGUGUAGCGGUGAAAUGCGUAGAUAUCUGGAGGAACACCGGUGGCGAAGGCGGCAUCCUGGACCGGUAUUGACGCUGAGGCGCGAAAGCCAGGGGAGCAAACGGG
rnacentral:rRNA from 1 species